UGGAGCUCACUGUCCCAAUACUGUUGGAGCUCACUGUCCCAAUACUGUUGGAGCUCACUGUCCCAAUACUGUUGGAGCUCACUGUCCCAAUACUGUUGGAGCUCACUGUCCCAAUACUGUUGGAGCUCCCUGUCCCAAUAAUGUUGGAGCUCCCUGUCGGUUAUACUGAAUAAGAGCUAGAUAGAUACCUGUAGAGAAUAACAUACAUACUUUGAAGACAUUUGUGAAAGAUGUGUCCAGGGAGGAAGAGGAUGAUGAUUGAAUCUUCAUAUUUCAGUCCAGUAUUCAAAACCUUGCUUGUCACUCCAGCAGGGGGAGUUUUUAUUUAUUGUAAAAGUGAGUGAUUAAAUGACAUCUUUGCAGAGAGAAAGAGCUUGAUGAAGGGAGAAGGACUGUGGGAGAGAGAUAUUUUCUGUUCAGAAAGCUGUGGGACAGGUUUGGAACAGACCAUUCUGUUCAGAAAGCUCUGGGACAGGUUUGAAGCAGACCAUUCUGUUCAGAAAGCUCUGGGACAGGUUUGAAGCAGACCAUUCUGUUCAGAAAGCUCUGGGACAGGUUUGAAGCAGACCAUUCUGUUCAGAAAGCUGUGGGACAGGUUUGAAGCAGACCAUUCUGUUCAGAAAGCUGUGGGACAGGUUUGAAGCAGACCAUUCUGUUCAGAAAGCUGUGGGACAGGUUUGGAACAGACCAUUCUGUUCAGAAAGCUGUGGGACAGGUUUGGAACAGACCAUUCUGUUCAGAAAGCUGUGGGACAGGUUUGGAACAGACCAUUCUGUUCAGAAAGCUGUGGGACAGGUCUGGAACAGACCAUUCUGUUCAGAAAGCUGUGGGACAGGUCUGGAGCAGGCCAGUCUCUUCAG